rnacentral:lncRNA from 1 species
UUUGCCAUUAGUCUGUAGAUGGCCUAUCGAGGUCAGUCGAUAUGCGAUGCCAAAUUCUUUGUAAAACUUUUUAAAUUGGGUGUUGUCAAAAUGUUGACCGUUGUUGGUCAAGAAUAAUCUAAGGUAUACCAAACCAACUGAUGAUGACCUUCCAUAUAAGAUUGCGAACUUUGGCCUUAGUGAUGUGGCCUAAUAACUCGGCCUCCACACAUUUUAUAUAGUCAAUGGAGAGGAGAAGAAAUUUUUUAUUAUCUCAAGGCUAUAGGGAAUGGGCUGAGGAUAUCCAUCCCCCACUGUCUGAAAGACCAUGGUAGUCGUUGCUGACAUCGAUCAUGUCUUUUCACAAGUUUAGCUAUAUUCUAUUAUAGGGUCGAUCAGUAGUAUCUUUGCCGAACUAUCUUAUAAGCUAGAGACGUAUCCUCCAAAUGGUUGUUGUAAAUGUCAUAUGCGCUUCUCGAAGUAUAUAGUUUGGCUCGAUUGGUCGUUGGCACCUGAGAAGAGACAAAGAGAAAGAUCUUUUGUGCAACUUGUUGUCAUAGAAGAUAUAGUGGAAAACAUGACAUCUUAACUUCCUAGCUUCCUUUAGAUCGGUUG